rnacentral:rRNA from 1 species
UACGGAGGGAGCUAGCGUUGUUCGGAAUUACUGGGCGUAAAGCGCGCGUAGGCGGCUUUGUAAGUUAGAGGUGAAAGCCCGGGGCUCAACCCCGGAAUUGCCUUUAAGACUGCAUCGCUUGAAUCCGGGAGAGGUGAGUGGAAUUCCGAGUGUAGAGGUGAAAUUCGUAGAUAUUCGGAAGAACACCAGUGGCGAAGGCGGCUCACUGGCCCGAUACUGACGCUGAGGCACGAAAGCGUGGGGAGCAAACAGG